rnacentral:rRNA from 1 species
UACGUAGGGUGCAAGCGUUAAUCGGAAUUACUGGGCGUAAAGCGUGCGCAGGCGGUUGUGCAAGACAGAUGUGAAAUCCCCGGGCUCAACCUGGGAAUUGCAUUUGUGACUGCACGGCUAGAGUGUGUCAGAGGGGGGUAGAAUUCCACGUGUAGCAGUGAAAUGCGUAGAGAUGUGGAGGAAUACCGAUGGCGAAGGCAGCCCCCUGGGAUAACACUGACGCUGAAGCACGAAAGCGUGGGGAGCAAACAGG